UGGGGAAUAUUGGGCAAUGGGCGCAAGCCUGACCCAGCAACGCCGCGUGAAGGAUGAAGGUUUUCGGAUUGUAAACUUCUGUCCUCAGGGACGAACGCAAUGACGGUACCUGAGGAGGAAGCCCCGGCUAACUACGUGCCAGCAGCCGCGGUAAUACGUAGGGGGCGAGCGUUGUCCGGAAUUACUGGGCGUAAAGGGAGCGUAGGCGGUUUAUUAAGUCAGAUGUGAAAUACCCGGGCUUAACCUGGGGGGUGCAUCUGAUACUGGUGAACUUGAGUGCGGGAGAGGAAAGUGGAAUUCCUAGUGUAGCGGUGAAAUGCGUAGAUAUUAGGAGGAACACCAGUGGCGAAGGCGACUUUCUGGACCGUAACUGACGCUGAGGCUCGAAAGCGUGGGGAGCAAACAGGAUUAGAUACCCUGGUAGU
rnacentral:rRNA from 1 species